AGAGUUUGAUCAUGGCUCAGAUUGAACGCUGGCGGCAGGCCUAACACAUGCAAGUCGAGCGGAUGAAGGGAGCUUGCUCCUGGAUUCAGCGGCGGACGGGUGAGUAAUGCCUAGGAAUCUGCCUGGUAGUGGGGGAUAACGUCCGGAAACGGGCGCUAAUACCGCAUACGUCCUGAGGGAGAAAGUGGGGGAUCUUCGGACCUCACGCUAUCAGAUGAGCCUAGGUCGGAUUAGCUAGUUGGUGGGGUAAAGGCCUACCAAGGCGACGAUUCGUAACUGGUCUGAGAGGAUGAUCAGUCACACUGGAACUGAGACACGGUCCAGACUCCUACGGGAGGCAGCAGUGGGGAAUAUUGGACAAUGGGCGAAAGCCUGAUCCAGCCAUGCCGCGUGUGUGAAGAAGGUCUUCGGAUUGUAAAGCACUUUAAGUUGGGAGGAAGGGCAGUAAGUUAAUACCUUGCUGUUUUGACGUUACCAACAGAGUAAGCACCGGCUAACUUCGUGCCAGCAGCCGCGGUAAUACGAAGGGUGCAAGCGUUAAUCGGAAUUACUGGGCGUAAAGCGCGCGUAGGUGGUUCAGCAAGUUGGAUGUGAAAUCCCCGGGCUCAACCUGGGAACUGCAUCCAAAACUACUGAGCUAGAGUACGGUAGAGGGUGGUGGAAUUUCCUGUGUAGCGGUGAAAUGCGUAGAUAUAGGAAGGAACACCAGUGGCGAAGGCGACCACCUGGACUGAUACUGACACUGAGGUGCGAAAGCGUGGGGCGCAAACAGGAUUAGAUACCCUGGUAGUCCACGCCGUAAACGAUGUCGACUAGCCGUUGGGAUCCUUGAGAUCUUAGUGGCGCAGCUAACGCGAUAAGUCGACCGCCUGGGGAGUACGGCCGCAAGGUUAAAACUCAAAUGAAUUGACGGGGGCCCGCACAAGCGGUGGAGCAUGUGGUUUAAUUCGAAGCAACGCGAAGAACCUUACCUGGCCUUGACAUGCUGAGAACUUUCCAGAGAUGGAUUGGUGCCUUCGGGAACUCAGACACAGGUGCUGCAUGGCUGUCGUCAGCUCGUGUCGUGAGAUGUUGGGUUAAGUCCCGUAACGAGCGCAACCCUUGUCCUUAGUUACCAGCACCUCGGGUGGGCACUCUAAGGAGACUGCCGGUGACAAACCGGAGGAAGGUGGGGAUGACGUCAAGUCAUCAUGGCCCUUACGGCCAGGGCUACACACGUGCUACAAUGGUCGGUACAAAGGGUUGCCAAGCCGCGAGGUGGAGCUAAUCCCAUAAAACCGAUCGUAGUCCGGAUCGCAGUCUGCAACUCGACUGCGUGAAGUCGGAAUCGCUAGUAAUCGUGAAUCAGAAUGUCACGGUGAAUACGUUCCCGGGCCUUGUACACACCGCCCGUCACACCAUGGGAGUGGGUUGCUCCAGAAGUAGCUAGUCUAACCGCAAGGGGGACGGUUACCACGGAGUGAUUCAUGACUGGGGUGAAGUCGUAACGAGGUA
rnacentral:rRNA from 1 species